CGAACGCUGGCGGCGUGCUUACCACAUGCAAGUCGACCGGAAGGGCCCUGCUUUUGUGGGGUGCUCGAGUGGCGAACGGGUGAGUAACACGUGAGUAACCUGCCCUUGACUUUGGGAUAACUUCAGGAAACUGGGGCUAAUACCGGAUAGGAGCUCCUGCUGCAUGGUGGGGGUUGGAAAGUUUCGGCGGUUGGGGAUGGACUCGCGGCUUAUCAGCUUGUUGGUGGGGUAGUGGCUUACCAAGGCUUUGACGGGUAGCCGGCCUGAGAGGGUGACCGGCCACAUUGGGACUGAGAUACGGCCCAGACUCCUACGGGAGGCAGCAGUGGGGAAUAUUGCACAAUGGGCGGAAGCCUGAUGCAGCAACGCCGCGUGCGGGAUGACGGCCUUCGGGUUGUAAACCGCUUUCGCCUGUGACGAAGCGUGAGUGACGGUAAUGGGUAAAGAAGCACCGGCUAACUACGUG
rnacentral:rRNA from 1 species